CAAAGAAUAAAUUAAGCAAUAAGACAUGACAAGCAGCCCAUUUGUAGGCAAUUUACUUACCACCUGAGGCAUGCCACAGCGGCUCAAGGCCAAAGGCUGAGUAACUUUAACCAUUCAAUAAAUGCAAUAAUAAUCGAACUGAAAUGCACAGCUUUGGGAGACUUUAUUUCUAUCAUGAUAUACAAUUUAUACACAGAAUCAAGUGCUUCUGUGCAUUUAGUGACUGUUAUUAAAUAAAUGAUAUUGUUAAGAAACUUUUUUUUUAACCAUCGUUCUGAAAAUGCUAUCCAACACAAAUUAAAUAGAGGUUUAUAUACAUUGUUCUAUGACCAGAUGUUGCUUGUGAAAUGACAGAACUACCCCCUGGACUGUAGGUUCAGUAUCAGUUUAAAAAAAAUCCAUGCAGACACGUAUAAACAUUAAAAGGACUGGGCAGCAUAGGACAGGACGGAUAUCAGCUACUCUAGAGAUUUAGCAACUGGCCUGCACUAUCCUGAUCACAUACUAAUUAAUUAAGGUCUAGUUGUGGAAGCAACAAAGAAUUAAUUUAAAAUAAUUUAUUUUUUCUAACAGCACUACCUCAUCUCAUUCUGAAGAGACCAUGCACAGACAUGCAGCUGUGCUACUGGAACAUUACUUCGUUGCUCCAGCUUUAAUGAAUAAAACAAUGACAGUAUUUAGGUUCGUGAUCUAUUCGCCAGUCACAGUAAGGUUCACCUCUUAAAUAAAUAGUGUGACAAUCUGGCUUUAAUUUGUACUCAGCAUACCAACAAUUGAUUUUUCCCAUAAACUCACUCUCUGCUCUGCUUUGUAACUACAUGGUCUGAUCCAGCUUAACCCUGGUGCAGAGAGCUGCCUUCCAUCCAUGUUCCUAAAAACUCUGAAAAAUUAACACGACUGAGAAUUUAAAAGACGUGAAGAUCUACUCGUGAGGUGGAAAGACUGGGCAGUAAACUGUUUUACAAGAAAGUGCAGCACCUGUUUGUUCUGUCCUCUUCAUUCUGCUCUGAUGAGUCUUAUCUGCAAGGAGGGCUAUUUUUUGAAGAUGAAGGUACAAUAUAGACACGUGUCUGAGCGAGGCUCCUCUCAAAGUCGACAGACAGGCACUUCUGGACCAUGAUACACCUGAUGGUGAGACUCUGCCCCAGAGGGAGAGAGGCUGUGUGCUGGGAGCACCUACGCCUGGGUCAGGGAUGGCUCAGAGGUGGACAGACACCUCUGUUACACCUCUGAGGUCUGUGUAACCCAAGAAGUUAGGUGAGAUGAUCCCACCCAAAAGACGCUAUGUUAAUACAUAACAGGGAUACAGCUAAGAGACUAGAAAUGCAGUCUUCUACUUUUCUUUCUCAUGUAUGUAUGUAAAUGUGUGUGCGCCUAUUUUUUUUUUUUAAAAAAGAAGGAGCAUCACCCUGAAAAUCCAAAUUAAUCCAUUUCCAUGUUUAUGCAUGUUAUUUUACUCACUGUUACUAUCUUCGGGGUUUAAUUGAAAUUCUCAUGUAAAUACACUGGUUUGCUCAAAAGUC